AUCGAACGCUGGCGGCGUGCCUAACACAUGCAAGUCGAGCGGAGCGGCGGACGGGUGAGUACUGCCUAGGAAUCUGCAUGUGAGUGGGGUACAACUUCCGGAGACAGGCGCUAAUACCGCAUACUAUCAGAUGAGCCUAGGGCGGAUUAGCUAGGUGGAGGGGUAAAGGCUUACCAAGGCGACGAUUCAUAGCUGGUCGGAGAGGAUGAUCAGUCACACUGGAACUGAGACACGGUCCAGACUCCUACGGGAGGCAGCAGUGGGGAAUAUUUGACAAUGGGCGAAAGCCUGAUCGAGCAAUGCCGCGUGUGUGAAGAAGGUCUUCGGAUUGUAAAGCACUUUAAGUUGGGAGGCGUUACCUACAGAAUAAGCACCGGCUAACUUCGUGCCAGCAGCCGCGGUAAUUC
rnacentral:rRNA from 1 species